CUUUUUGAAGCGCCGCCGGCGCCGCAGGAAGCUGCCGUUCUCGAACAUGUUGUAGGAGUCCGGGUCCAGGGUCCAGUAACUGCCCUUGCCGGGCUUCUUGUCGUCGCGGGGCACCUUGACGAAGCACUCGUUGAGCGAGAGGUUGUGGCGGAUGCUGUUCUGCCAGCCCUGCUUGUUCUCCCGGUAGAAGGGGAAGCGGUCCAUGAUGAACUGGUAGAUGCCGUUCAAGGUUUCCUUGCACCCUUCCUGGCUGUUCAUCGGCUGCGUAUUCGAUUCUCAGCAAAAGGAUGUUGAGACAACCCACCAGGCCUCUUCGCUUCGGCCUCUUCGCUUCGGGGAGGCGACUAGAAGGCAAUGGGGCGUGCCACUUAUUUCCAAUAAAAGAACAGAAGACGAAAAUGUAGAUGCAUUAUCUUUGUCUCCUGAUCAAUUCAAAGCCAAAGGGAAGCUACAAAUCAGGUUCCUUUACCUUGAAUAUUCCACUUCUGAAACAUUGUUUUUAUGAGUAUUCUGGGCUCUUUUUCUAACCUGAUCCUUUUUCUUCUUUCUUUGAAACAAAGUAAAAUAAAGCUGCCCAGUUCUCA
rnacentral:lncRNA from 1 species